rnacentral:rRNA from 1 species
AUUGAACGCUGGCGGAAUGCUUUACACAUGCAAGUCGAGCGGCAGCACGGGGGUAACCCUGGUGGCGAGCGGCGAACGGGUGAGUAAUACAUCGGAACAUGCCCAGUCGUGGGGGAUAACACUUCGAAAGAAGUGCUAAUACCGCAUACGUCCUGAGGGAGAAAGCGGGGGAUCGCAAGACCUCGCGCGAUUGGAGUGGCCGAUGUCAGAUUAGCUAGUUGGUGGGGUAAAGGCCUACCAAGGCAACGAUCUGUAGCUGGUCUGAGAGGAUGAUCAGCCACACUGGGACUGAGACACGGCCCAGACUCCUACGGGAGGCAGCAGUGGGGAAUUUUGGACAAUGGGGGCAACCCUGAUCCAGCCAUUCCGCGUGAGUGAAGAAGGCCUUUGGGUUGUAAAGCUCUUUCGGCAGGAACGAAACGGUGAGCUCUAACAUAGCUUGCUAAUGACGGUACCUGAAGAAGAAGCACCGGCUAACUACGUG